GUCCACGCCAUAAACGAUGAGAACUGGAUGUUGGGAGCAUUAGGCUCCCGGUGUCGUAGCUAACGCGUUAAGUUCUCCGCCUGGGGAGUACGGCCGCAAGGUUGAAACUCAAAGGAAUUGACGGGGACCCCGCACAAGCGGUGGAGCAUGUGGUUUAAUUCGAUGCAACGCGAAGAACCUUACCUGGUCUUGACAUCCUAGGAAUCCUGCAGAGAUGUGGGAGUGCCUUCGGGAACCUGGAGACAGGUGCUGCAUGGCUGUCGU
rnacentral:rRNA from 1 species